AGUGAACGCUGCGGCGUGCCUAAUACAUGCAAGUCGAACGGAAUUUAAAAGAGCUUGCUCUUUUGAAUUUAGUGGCGCACGGGUGAGUAAUAUAUAGCUAAUCUGCCCCUUGCUGGAGGACAACAGUUAGAAAUGACUGCUAAUACUCCAUACUCCUUUUUACCAUAAGAUAAAUCGGGAAAGAAUUUCGGCAAGGGAUGAGACUAUAUCGUAUCAGCUAGUCGGUGGGGUAACGGCCUACCGAGGCUAUGACGCGUAACUGGUCUGAGAGGAUGAUCAGUCACAUUGGAACUGAGACACGGUCCAAACUCCUACGGGAGGCAGCAGUAGGGAAUAUUGCGCAAUGGGGGAAACCCUGACGCAGCAACGCCGCGUGGAGGAUGACACUUUUCGGAGCGUAAACUCCUUUUGUUAGGGAAGAAUAAUGACGGUACCUAACGAAUAAGCACCGGCUAA
rnacentral:rRNA from 1 species